UCCGGCGCAUGCAUGCUGCUGCGGGGAGGACAGGGAUGCAGUAGUCCUGUACCACUGCCCCAUCAUGGAAACCCAGCCGUAUGUGGUCAGUCGUUUGGUGGUCGAACGUACUCUGUUAUGUUAGAAGCUGCAGCAG